CCCGGCCGGGGCGCGGGGCUGCGCGGAGAGAGGGUGCGGCUCCGGGAUCGGAGCGAAGCGAUUUGGCAGCGGGGUGCGGCUGCAGAGUCCGCGGGCACUGCGCGUCUUUUGUCCUCUUCCCACAUCAGCAAUUUUCAGCUGCGCUGCGUGUGGCAUUUCCUGCCACUGGGAGAAGGACGAUCUGAUCGUCCGCCACGAGGGAAAACGUUGUGACAAUUCGUGAUGUGUUUGCGAACUGCUCCCUUUGUUGCUGCCUAGUCUGGGUUUUAUUUCUUCUUUUUAACUCGUGCUGUGCCAGAGAUUUUUACUGCUUAUAUUAAGGGAAGGUCCGGGACUCCGCCCCACUCAGAGUUUGCUUCAGAAAUGGAGCUCUCUCACUUCGAGAUCUCAGAACUGCGAGGCGGGGCAGAGCGGAGCUGCGGCUCUCCGGUGCCGCCCAACGGAGGAAAGACGGAGCGGUCCCUGAUGCCCGGAAGACCCUGCGGCACACCCAGCUUCCAGCUGCUCACCCUUCCCCAUCCCCAUCUCCAUCCCCAUCCCUUCCCUGCCAGCUUGCAGCUUUGCAUGUACUGCAGGACGAAAUGCUCCACAGAGGCCAAAGGAGCAAUGAACCCAACUGUCUCCUCUGAAUUAGAGAAAAAUGUAUUUUCUUUCACUCUUCUAAAAGUUCAACUGUUCAGCCAAUUAUGAAUUGUUUUCUUUCAGAUACCAAACUCGCUUUUAACAAUAGCUUACCACCAAACCUGAGAUGCUUAACCUCAUUUACAGUAUGUAUUUUCUGGAACGUUAAACCCUAAAAGAAUUGAAAGUGUAUUCAGCAUCCAUUUCUCAGCUGUAACCCUCUGGCAAUGUUUAACAGUAUGAUGUAUCUUCCACAAACCAUGUUUUAAUAGCCACUGCUGGCCUCUCAUGGUUUAAAUGGACUUACAUUAAUGAGCAGCCAAAAAAGACUGGAGCACCCAUGAACAGAUGCAUCCCCCAAGGUGGGGGAAGGAACAGUGCUAUUCCUCUGAAGAGUCUUUAAAAGCCAUCAGAGAUUGGAUUUGCUUAAGAAAAACCCUGAGAGGACACUCCUCCAAGGACACAGUUUCGAGUAUGACUGCACAAAAGCAUCACUGUCUUCUCCAGCUCAUGUGAGCCAGUGCCAAUGUUGCGCAUUGACUUGAAUAAAGGCUUUGGAAAGCUCUA